CUACGGAGGGUGCAAGCGUUGUUCGGAAUCACUGGGCGUAAAGGGCGCGCAGGCGGUUUGGUAAGUCAGAUGUGAAAGCCCAUGGCUCAACCAUGGAAGUGCAUUUGAAACUGUCAGACUUGAGUACUAGAGGGGAAAGUGGAAUUCCCGGUGUAGAGGUGAAAUUCGUAGAUAUCGGGAGGAAUACCGGUGGCGAAGGCGACUUUCUGGCUAGAUACUGACGCUGAGGCGCGAAAGCGUGGGGAGCAAACAGAAUUAGAAACCCUAGUAGUCC
rnacentral:rRNA from 1 species